GACGAACGCUGGCGGCGUGCUUAACACAUGCAAGUCGAACGGAAAGGCCCUGCUUGCAGGGUACUCGAGUGGCGAACGGGUGAGUAACACGUGGGUGAUCUGCCCUGCACUUCGGGAUAAGCCUGGGAAACUGGGUCUAAUACCGGAUAGGAGCCAUUUUUAGUGUGAUGGUUGGAAAGUUUUUUCGGUGUAGGAUGAGCUCGCGGCCUAUCGGCUUGUUGGUGGGGUAAUGGCCUACCAAGGCGGCGACGGGUAGCCGGCCUGAGAGGGUGGACGGCCACAUUGGGACUGAGAGACGGCCCAGACUCCUACGGGAGGCAGCAGUGGGGAAUAUUGCACAAUGGGCGCAAGCCUGAUGCAGCGACGCCGCGUGGGGGAUGACGGCCUUCGGGUUGUAAACUCCUUUCGCUAGGGACGAAGCUUUUUGUGACGGUACCUAGAGAAGAAGCACCGGCUAACUACGUG
rnacentral:rRNA from 1 species